AAAUGACCUUUUGCAAUUUUACACAAGAUUGUACGAAACGAUCUUGAAUAUAUACAAUUAGGACAUUACUAUGGAUCAUCAGGUAGAGGGGUUUUAGUCGGUAGGUCCGAGAACUUCUUCCUCGGAAAUCCGACACUACCCAGUCGUACGGACGGCUGGGUGUCUUUUGAAGAUUUCCCCUCUUCCACGAAA
rfam:Agrilus planipennis Contig44691, whole genome shotgun sequence.